UGACAUCUACCUUGGAACAAGCAAAGGAAUGCUUGUAUCCAAAGAUUUAGAUCUUCACACAUGUAUAUAGUUGCUAAAACUCAUCCACUCUUCAAGGGUUGUUGUUUCAUAGUUGAUAUUUCAGAAAGAGUUUCUGCAUCAACAAGCAAUGAACAUGUCAACACAAAAACUCAACAUGGCAAUCAAGACAAAUACUAACAAAUAAUGAAAAUAGAUAUGGUUGAAGCUCAACCAUUAAAUGAAGAUGUGUUUCAAACAUUUGAUUCUAUUCAAGUAGAAGGACAAAGAUAGAGAUUGACAACGAACAAGCUUUGGUCAUUCAAGUCUUAGAGAGUGCACCGGUAAUCGAAGAAGUUUCUGAAAAAAAUUGCACUCAACUAACUAGACGAAGAUCAAAUUUGAAACAAAAAGAAUCCCCAACUACGAUAUUAAGAGAAAAUGCUACUCAACUAAGUAGACAAAGACCAAAUUUGAAACAAAAAGAAUCCUCAACUACGAUAUUAAGAGAAAAUGCUUCGUUGGAAAAAAUAAAAGUCGGAUCAGUAUUUGACAAGAAGAAGAGUAUAGCAAUUGGACCAUUUUUAAAGCCAAAAAUCAACCCAAACUAUAAUUUUUCUACUCAAAUCCACACAACCCAAGCUAAUUCCUUUUACCCUUAGCUUAAUAUUAAUUGUUUUUCAAUAUAGCAAUCAAAGGACAUUUUGAAUUCAAGGUUGUUAGAUCAAGCUCAACGAGAUAUUCGUUGACAUGUAAUGAUGAUAGGUGUUGUUGGUGUGUGCGUGCUUUCAGAGUUUAAGAUUCAACACUGUUCAAGAUAGUCAAGAUUGAGAAAAAGCAUAACUGCUCUGUUAACACUAUGAAAGCAGAUCAAAGGCAUGCUACUUCAAAGUUGAUUAGUGGUUAAAUUAUCGACAAUCUUUGGGACCCAAAAUUUGAAGUUGCACCAGCUUUUGUCAUGGUAGAGAUGCAAAAAUUGCAUCGACUAGACAUUGGAUAUCACAAAGCGGGGCGUGCUAUUCAACAUGCUUCCGCAUUAAUUAGAGGAGGUCCCCAAGAGAAUUAUGAAUUAUUGUCUUCAUACUUGUACAUGAUGACAAGUAAAAACUCGGGAACUUAUACUAACAUAAAGAUAAACGACAACAACGGGUAAACAAUAAAAAAAAAGUUUAUUAGUACGUUUUAUAAAAUUUAGGACAUGCUGUCUUUAACCAUGUUAACUUUUUAGUUGUAACUAGAUGUUCAGGAAUGGUUGUCCUUAAGUUUUGAACUUGUUAUUCAAAUUUAAGGAUUGCCGGAUCUUAAGUUUUGAACUUUGAAAUCAAAGUUAAGGACCACAUAUUCCUUAACUUUAUAACUUGGAAAUGUAAGUUAAGGACUGACUGUCUUAAACUUCUGUUAACCUUUUUUUAUAUUGUAUUUUCAGGUUUCUUUAUAUAUUUUAUGCAUAUGGAUCAUCAAUAGCUGGUUGGGAUCAUUGUAGACCAGUGAUUGUUGUUGAUGCAACAUUUUUGAAGCCAAAAUUUUGUGGUGUUUUAAUGAUUUCAGUUUCAAAUGAUACAAAUAACCAAAUUUUCCCACUAGCCUUUGGAAUAGCAGAAUCUGAAAAUAACAACUCCUAUGAGUGGUACUUUAGUCAGCUUCGCAAUGCAAUUGGGAGCCGUGAGAAUUUAAUUUUUUUAUUAGACAUGCAUCAAGCUAUUGCAAAUGGCAUUACAAAGGUAUAUCCUAAAAACCAUCAUGGGAUUUGCGUCUAUCAUUUAGAGCAGAACCUAAUGUAGCACCUCCUUUUUCCGCACUCCACGAGGGUACAUGAGUUUUUUCCAAUUAAAGGACAGUCGAAUGGGAUUGGUUUAUUAAGUUUAGAGUCCCCACUUGGGAGAUUUAUGGUGUCCCAGGUCACCGGUUGAAUCCCGAAUCGAGGAAAAGAUUGACUCUGUUUAACAGUCCUUGAACUAGAAAUCCGGAUAAGGAAUUUUGUUAACCCGGGAGAAGGUGUUACGCAUUUCCGAGUUCCGUGGUUCUAGCACGGUCACUCAACUGUUAUAUUCAGCUUAUUUAUCUGAUUUUAACAAUUAUGUACUUAGUGCAAAUUGUGACUUGUUACCGCUUUUAUUAUUGUUAUUAUUAUUUUCGAAAAGAAUUGCAACGUUGUAAAAAUGUAUCUCGAACCACGUCACAACCAGUGUACACAUAGUCGUCGACACAUUUCGACUCCACUGAGAUUUGGAUUUUGAGUUACAUCAAUGUACACCCGAAUUUAAGAAAAUAAUUUAUUAAAGAUGCGCCUACAGCGACUAGCGUAUAGUUAUUUUGGGUAAGGCCGUGAAAUUAGAUAAACGGCCCAUCCCGAAGUCUAAGUAUCUUUACAAUCACGUGUAGAGGCCCCCACGAUUAUGUUUUUGUUUGGCACGACGCAUCUUUAUUUAUUCUAACCAAAAGGCUUUUCAAUUAGAUCACGAGGGCCAUAAGUUAUGGAUUUUCUUGAGAAUGGCACGCUUCACAUUACUAAAUAUUACCUUAAAUAUGCAAAUAUUACAAUGAUAAACACACUGCUACUCAAAAACGAAAAAUGGUCCUAUAGUUAACAGAAAUUCCUAAAAGAUUAAUGGUGAACAAUAAUAAACUAUUAGUCCUAUAGUUAACGGAAAUUCCUAAAAAAUUAAUGGUGAACAAUAAUAAACUAUCGUUCCUUAAGGAAAGAGCACAUAUUAUCAAAUUAACCGUACAUUAACAAAUGACGAAGUGUACACCUUCAUAAUACACUCAUUCCAUCAGAACCAAACAUGAAACGUCAAAGUAAAACAAUACUAAUGCUACUGCUCUUUCUUCUAAUCAGCAUCACACAAACGAUAUUAACAGAGGAAAAGAAGUAGAAUAUUUGAAUGGAAACGAACAUCUAUGGUUACCAUCUGUGCAAUGGAAUUCUGUUCAUAGCUCCCGGCAUUUGACUAGUUUUCAUUUUUAUUUUUAUCAACAAUAUAACACGAGUUUAAAUAUAAACAACAAUAAAACAUGAGAAAAUUAAGUAAACAAAAACUUAUUUAAUCUUCUUCAUUUCUGAGCAAACUAACCGAGAAACAGGUCGAACGAAUCGAUACGGACAGAGCAACAACUGACCGGAAAAACUCGAACCUCGACGGAACCCACAAAUAGAGCUUUGGACAAGUUAGACAGCAACCUCAGACGAUGACGCUUCCGCCGAGUUAGGAGCUGGAACGUUUGGUUCAAGCUGGCGGUGUGACGACGAGCUGUGACGCUGAAACAGCCGCAACGGCAGCGUGAAGGGCUGUGCGUGUGUGAUGGUGACGAUGAAGCUGGCUGUUUGGACGACGGGGUUAUGGAGCUGGUCGACGAGGCAGUUGUGAAGGAGAAGAAUGACUGAACAGUGGUCGUGGACAAGAAGGGGUGGUCGCGUGAGCUGGGUGAUGGACUGUUGGCCGGAAAACUGGUGGUCAGCGAACGGGAAUGGAGGUCGUUUGGAGGGGUGACGACUGGAAGGGUGUUUUUUGUCGUGGGUUUGUAAAAAAAUGAACCAGAUGAAUGAAUAGUAGUAUUUUUUCUUCCAAAAUGUGUAAUCAAAAUCUGAUGAAAACCCCUUCCCAAAAAUGCCUCUCACUUCUCUCCUCCUCAAAAUCGGAAUGCCCCUCUUAUUAUGUCUGUGUGUUCUAAGUCUAUGGGAGUGGUUGGGAUAGGUAGCGAGUGGUUGGGAGA
rnacentral:lncRNA from 1 species